rnacentral:rRNA from 1 species
GGAAAGGCGCGCGAUACAGGGUGACAGCCCCGUACACAAAAAUGCACAUAUUGUGAGCUCGAUGAGUAGGGCGGGACACGUGGUAUCCUGUCUGAAUAUGGGGGGACCAUCCUCCAAGGCUAAAUACUCCUGACUGACCGAUAGUGAACCAGUACCGUGAGGGAAAGGCGAAAAGAACCCCGGCGAGGGGAGUGAAAAAGAACCUGAAACCGUGUACGUACAAGCAGUGGGAGCCUCUUAAUGGGGUGACUGCGUACCUUUUGUAUAAUGGGUCAGCGACUUAUAUUCUGUAGCAAGGUUAACCGAAUAGGGGAGCCGAAGGGAAACCGAGUCUUAACUGGGCGUUAAGUUGCAGGGUAUAGACCCGAAACCCGGUGAUCUAGCCAUGGGCAGGUUGAAGGUUGGGUAACACUAACUGGAGGACCGAACCGACUAAUGUUGAAAAAUUAGCGGAUGACUUGUGGCUGGGGGUGAAAGGCCAAUCAAACCGGGAGAUAGCUGGUUCUCCCCGAAAGCUAUUUAGGUAGCGCCUCGUGAAUUCAUCUCCGGGGGUAGAGCACUGUUUCGGCAAGGGGGUCAUCCCGACUUACCAACCCGAUGCAAACUGCGAAUACCGGAGAAUGUUAUCACGGGAGACACACGGCGGGUGCUAACGUCCGUCGUGAAGAGGGAAACAACCCAGACCGCCAGCUAAGGUCCCAAAGUCAUGGUUAAGUGGGAAACGAUGUGGGAAGGCCCAGACAGCCAGGAUGUUGGCUUAGAAGCAGCCAUCAUUUAAAGAAAGCGUAAUAGCUCACUGGUCGAGUCGGCCUGCGCGGAAGAUGUAACGGGGCUAAACCAUGCACCGAAGCUGCGGCAGCGACGCUUAUGCGUUGUUGGGUAGGGGAGCGUUCUGUAAGCCUGUGAAGGUGGCCUGUGAGGGUUGCUGGAGGUAUCAGAAGUGCGAAUGCUGACAUAAGUAACGAUAAAGCGGGUGAAAAGCCCGCUCGCCGGAAGACCAAGGGUUCCUGUCCAACGUUAAUCGGGGCAGGGUGAGUCGACCCCUAAGGCGAGGCCGAAAGGCGUAGUCGAUGGGAAACAGGUUAAUAUUCCUGUACUUGGUGUUACUGCGAAGGGGGGACGGAGAAGGCUAUGUUGGCCGGGCGACGGUUGUCCCGGUUUAAGCGUGUAGGCUGGUUUUCCAGGCAAAUCCGGAAAAUCAAGGCUGAGGCGUGAUGACGAGGCACUACGGUGCUGAAGCGACAAAUGCCCUGCUUCCAGGAAAAGCCUCUAAGCAUCAGGUAACAUCAAAUCGUACCCCAAACCGACACAGGUGGUCAGG